GCAUGCUUGUUGGAGUGUCU
rnacentral:rRNA from 1 species